rnacentral:rRNA from 1 species
UACAGAGGGUGCGAGCGUCAAUCGGAAUUACUGGGCGUAAAGGGUGCGUAGGCGGUUAUAUGAGUGGUAUGUGAAAGCCCUGGGCUUAACCUAGGAAGUGCAUCCCAAACGAUAUAACUGGAGUAUAUGAGAGGGUGGCGGAAUUUCCGGUGUAGCGGUGAAAUGCGUAGAGAUCGGAAGGAACGUCGAUGGCGAAGGCAGCCACCUGGCAUAAUACUGACGCUGAGGCACGAAAGCGUGGGGAGCGAACAGG